rnacentral:rRNA from 1 species
CAGUAGCCGCGGUAAUACAGAGGGUGCGAGCGUUAAUCGGAUUUACUGGGCGUAAAGCGUGCGUAGGCGGCUUCUUAAGUCGGAUGUGAAAUCCCUGAGCUUAACUUAGGAAUUGCAUUCGAUACUGGGAAGCUAGAGUAUGGGAGAGGAUGGUAGAAUUCCAGGUGUAGCGGUGAAAUGCGUAGAGAUCUGGAGGAAUACCGAUGGCGAAGGAAGCCAUCUGGCCUAAUACUGACGCUGAGGUACGAAAGCAUGGGGAGCAAACAGGAUUAGAUACCCCUGUAGUCCCUGUCUCUUAUAC